AACCCAACUUGCUAUUUCCUGGAGGUUUCCUGAACCUAAACCUUCGUUAACAUCCCAGGAAGAGAACAUAUUUUUCCUGUGGCUUUCAAUAUUUUCUGCUAAAUAUAUUUCGGCGCACUGUUUAUCUAGGGUUUCAGCUUUCAGACCUUUAUGUACUUUUGUCACCUUGAGGCUGUUCCACUGAAAAAUGGGGUAUGUUUAUUAAAGAGGACUUUCUGUGCUGGGCCCUAAGGUAGUGGGAAUGUCUGUUUGGGUCUGUCUGUAUGAGGAGGGCUUCAAGGGGAGGCCCAAGUCCAAGGCACGUUUGAUUUGUGGAGCCCUUUUGACAAUGCAGGCCCAACAUAGCUCAGACGAACCCUUUAAUACAGCAGAAUGUUGAACCAAAUGAGUAUUUCUUCCUAAGUGCACGGCUGACAUGGAGGCCCAGACAGGAGAGACUGAAAAUGCCCCAGCUUCCUGGGACUUCGCUGUGAUUGCUUUUAAUGCGCCUCUCCCUGGGUGUCUGCUUAUGAUUGUCACGGCAAUUCUGGCCAGGGUGACGCGCUCUGUCUCACUGGAAUUUCCUGACUUCAAGUAGCCCCUUCCAAAUAAAUAAAUUAAUCAAUAAAAGCCAUCUGCUUCACCUGGCCGGCAGGCACAGCACUGGAAGGGGUGGCGCUGAACGCGAUUUUUUAGGAGCGGUUGGCCCUUGAGACGUUUCGAGCAUGUGACCAGAAUGCUGCCAGCUAAUUUUAACCCCACUGAAGAACUGCUGGAAAAAAACAAAACGCAACAAAAAAAAAACCUAUCUUGCAUCUGGAGAGAGAACUGCUGUGGGCUGGAUAAAAGCUUUUUCAGCCUGCAUUCCUUCCUGUUUCAGUUUCCAAACUUGUAUUAUCGGUAACCUGAAAAAUGAUGUUUCACCAAAUUCCUGGAUAUUGCACAAGAGGACAAUGAGUCUAUUUCGGGUGCUAUGAGUGUGUCUGGCACAGACCCUGGGAGCCAUUGUUUUCAGGAGGGAGAAUGCUUUGGGGUUUCCUGGUGCUUUCCUUCUAGGGUCUCAAAGCCCCCAAAGCAUCAGGAAUUAAUGGAGGACGUCAUGGAGUCCCUCACCUUGGAUACUGGCUUCUCAAAGCAUUCCUGUGGCGGUUAAUUGUUGCUUCUGGCUGGGUGGCUGGUGAUGCUGGUGACAAGGUGCAGAAUCUCAAGAGCCAGGAAAUUUAGAGGCUUGGAUCAGAUAGUGUGUAGCUAGGCAGCUGCUGCCAGCUGUGCUAAAACCAGGUAGUGAGGUGGGCUGUCAUUAACCUGAGGGUCUACAAGGCAGUCCCAGCAGAUCAGCUCAUGGCGAAGAGACUGAGGGGAAAGGCCCCAGUUCAUGCUGCAGCCCUCCCGGCAACCAGGAGGGCUUGGUGGCAGUUGUUCUGACAGCUGCUGAGGGCUUCAGCUGCCGAAAAAGCCAUUUGCUCAGGCCUACCCUGUCUGGCCAACUUCUACGUAUUUAAAGGCUCCUCCUUGGUCUCUGAGGCCCCCCCUCUCCACCUGAGUCCUCAGGCAAAGACGCGUCUUUGGAAGCACCGGCAACCGCCUGGGAGACCUUCGCCCCGUCGUCUGCCUGUCCACUGCUGCUGUAACCUGCCCACAGUCAUCAAGAUCAGUUAGCAAAUUCCCAAAUUAAGAUUCUGUUGACUUUGUUGUUCCAAAGGCUUGUUUUCAGCAGGAUGUUGUGCUUUAAUUAAAAAUAUGAGAGCUCAUGAGUAAGUAAAACUAUUUCUGAAUCUUCGCAAGGAUGUCUGAAUUGCGUUUCUUGCAUCUCACCGCAGGGGUUCAGCUCUCUAAGACCACUGAAAACUUUCUCUGUCCUCAACAGCUGGCUCUUCCCCAUUGCAGAAUUGAAAGGGGAGCCCUGAGUCAAGAAUCUGCUCCUUGUGCUUCUCCGCUUGCAGAUUUU
rnacentral:lncRNA from 1 species